UACAUGGGGUGCAACCGUUGCUCGGAAUUAUUGGGCGUAAAGCGCGCGUAGGCGGUUACUUAAGUCGGAUGUGAAAGCCCUCGGCUUAACUGAGGAAGUGCACCCGAAACUGAGUAGCUAGAGUACGAAAGAGGGUCGCGGAAUUCCCGGUGUAGAGGUGAAAUUCGUAGAUAUCGGGAGGAACACCGGUGGCGAAGGCGGCGACCUGGGUCGAGACUGACGCUGAGGCGCGAAAGCGUGGGGAGCAAACAGG
rnacentral:rRNA from 1 species